ACUAAGUGAGCUACUUUAAAAUAGCUUUUUAGAGCUAAUCCGUCUCUGUUGCAAUAGAGUGGAACAAUUUUUAAGUAGAAGUGAUAAACCUAUCGAACUUAGUGAUAGCUGGUUUUUUAAGAAAAGAAUUUCAGUUCCGCCCUAAACCUCAAAUUAUUUUAAUAAUUAAAUUAGAUUUAGGAGUCAUUCAAAUAAGGAACAGCUUAUUUGAAAAAGGAUACAACCUAGAAUAUAGGGUAAGACGAAUAAAAAUUCAACAAGUCGGCCUGAAAGCAGCCACCUUCUAAAAAGCGUCAAAGCUUAGCAUCAAAAAAUAUUCAAUAUCACCAAAAACUUCCAACCCCUAAUUAAUAUUAAAAAACUCCAUAAUGUUAUGGAAGCUACUAUGCUAGAAUAAGUAAUAAGAAUAAGACUUUCUCCAAAAUGUAAGCUUAAGCCAUAAUAGACAGACUAUUG
rnacentral:rRNA from 1 species